CCUAGAGAAACCAUCAAGAAUCAAAAACCAUGAUUAGAUUAAGCAUCAAAAUUAGAAAUCACUGUCACACUGCACAAUAAAAUUGUCAUCAUGUUUCAAACCAACUAAUCAAACCACCAUGUAAUAAAGAAACCCCCUUCACAAGAACUUCCGGCCUCUAAAUCAUGCCUCUUAUGUCCAACAUCAGAAUAUGGAAACCAAAAUAACACCGACUUAGAAUCAGGAACAUUCUCCGAAACAUAGAAACUGCUUCCAUGAUGAUUUCACACUGAAAAUAUUAUUAAAACAAAUACUGAAAACUCGUAACCCCAGCACCAGUGCUUCAACCGAAUGCAAGAAAAUCAUGAAGUAAAUCUGAACUCGGACUGUCAGAUUGGCGAUACUCAAAAAUCCAAUCAGAAUACACCACAGCUGAUUCCGGCAGAUUAACGAUGGAGCACCCCCAAUACCAGAAGAAAGAAACCUGAACCACUUGGAUUCUUUUUUAGGAAAAAAAGGAAACUAAACCACAAGAGACCAGAUUCAAUCGUCAAAUCCUCAAACAAGAACAAACAGCUCAAAAUUCUGCGAACCCUAAAAACCAAGUCGCAAAAAAUUCCUUAAUUACUGCAAAUCUUUAACUUAAAUUCAUCCUCUGAAUCAUGCCUAUCUUGUCCAACACCGUAAGAUGGAAUCUAUAGGUAACAUUGAAUUGGCAUCAGGAACAUCUCUUUUGAGACAUCCAGAAACCACUAAUCAGGCUGCAAAAUAAUGCUUGUGUGAUGCUUUCAAACUGAAAAUAGAAUUAUUAAAAUGAAUACCAAAAACUGUAAUACUGGCAGCAGGAAAAUCAUAAGCAAGUCUGAACUCAUACUGUCGGAUUGGAAAUAUUCAAAAGCGAUUAAUACCAUUCCCUGCCAUCCUCCCUCUAUAAAACCUGCUAAGCUCAAGAUUUGCAGGAAAAUCAUACCGGUAGAUUAACAAAAGAGCACUCCCAGAUCCAAACCAAAAAAAAAAACUCAAUUCACUGGAAUUCUUUUCAAAAAGAAAAAAGUCACAUGAAACCAGAUUCAAUUGCCAAGUCAAAAAGACUACUGCAAAUCUUCAAGAAACUCACUACCUUAUUAAAUGCAAAUCUUCUAGAAAUCUACAUCCACUUGCAAGCAACAAUAGAGUAAAACCAUCAAUAAUCUUGAUACUGAUAAUGAAAUUAAGAAGCCAACAGACUGUAAAUAAUUAAAAUAUAAUGAAAUCGCAUAAGCCAGUGAGCACCUUCCAUUCAUCGGCUGAAAUGUCACCUAUAGUACUACCGCCAUCAUCCACAGUUGCUUCAUCCCUUGGAUUCCCCCAUGGUGCCUUCACUGAUCAAAUCAAAUUUCUGGUGAAGCAAAAGAGAGAAAUACUGACCCAUAUCAAAAGUAACUCACUCACUCAGCAAUAGCAGCUAAAAUGUAAAAGCUACUAAGUCACUCAGCAGUAGCAGAAUAUAUAUCAAUUCCCAUACACACCAAUGCAUGAAAAAUCACUGCUUUACUUGGAUUGCUCCAUUCUGCCUUCACUGAUCAAGUCACAGUUCUGGUAAGGCAAAUGGCAGGAUUGCCAAAGAUAACAAAAUAUUUAAGUAAUUGGAACAAGUAUGAAAAAAACAGGCCCAGAUUAAGGGUAGCAGCUACUAUUAUAUCGGUUCUAAGACACACCAUAGCCUACAAAAUAUAGUAUCAUGAUUAUCAAGACAAGCAAUAUAGUGCAAAUCCAACAGGAAGAAAAUGAAGCCCAUUACAAAUCUUAAUCCAGCAUUUUCCAAAAUAUACCAAAGGACCAGAUACAUUAAGAGAACACAAGCUAAUAAUGGAAAAAAGGCGAUUAUUAGGUACACAAAUGCACAUAAACAAUGACUAGGAUUUAAAGGACAAACUCUGCUCUUCGCCUUGGAAAAAUUGCAUGCUGCAACAUAAGCACAAAUCAAUCUUCCAUGUGAAUAGUUUGUGUAGGAAAAAAAAUAAUCGCAAACUCCCAAAACGAACCCCCUUAAUAUAAAAUAGCAACAUUACACUCCAGUCUUUCAUAUAGUCUUCAAGAUCAAGAUACCCUGAGAAUGAUUGUUUCCCUGUUGCACAAGCUUUUCUGCAACAACAGAAAUAACAAGUUAUCUUAUCACACAAACUCUGUAAUACUGGCAGCAGGAAAAUCAUAAGCAAGUCUGAACUCAUACUGUCGGAUUGGAAAUAUUCAAAAGCGAUUAAGUAUCAGGGAAAAUGACUAUAACUGAUUCUACAAUCAAGGCUGAGGACAACACCAGUGAAAAAGGUCAUAUCAUACUCCAAUUUGUGCGUACAUCCUAUAACGAUCAAGAAGCGGGUCAAUGAAAUGAGAGAUGAUCACCAGGUUACUAGAUCAAUAAGAAUGAGUGAUAUUCUUGAACCAAGAGAUAUCAGCUACAAAGCCACUUAACAAAAUAGCCUCCAUAUCAUAUGCUUUCGCACCUAAAGAACUGGCACUGCAUGAAGAUGAACACGAGCUAGAAAAUAGCUUCAACCCUAUGAAAUAAAAAAAAGGAUCAUCAAAGAUAACCAAAUCCAGAAUCUACUUACCUCCAUAGCCUAUAGUAUACAAAAACCAUCAAUAAUCCCAUUAUCUAUUUUACUAUAUAACACCAACUCCCUUAAUAUCUCAAUGCAUGAGGUGUGUCAGACCAUCAAUGUUUCCCCACCCAUGUUCCAUGUUUGCGUUUUCCCUUCAGUGCGGCUGUUACCAACAAGAUCAAAAAGUCCGAGUCCUUCCUCAUCAAAAAAUAAUGUGCAUCCCAUAUGCCGCAUCCUUGAUAAACAAGCAAUCAAGAAAGCAGGUCAGUUUCAUCAGGUUAUUUCCAGUCUAGUCUAGAAUCAACACCAAACGAAGCUUCAUCUUAACAACUACGUACACCGUAACUAAUGGGUAGCCCUUACCGUCUUUCUACAAUCUCCGAUUGGAAAUCCCUCAUUACAUUAGAACUGCACCUCAACAGCGAAAGACUUAUGUCNNNNNNNNNNNNNNNNNNNNNNNNNNNNNNNNNNNNNNNNNNNNNNNNAACCAGCUCACUAACGUCGCCACUUCAGACAAGGAAUUUGGUUUGACAUCUUCCUAGUUUACUCGGCUGAACGAACAGGUCUAAAUGGGUGGUAAGCCCGAAAUGUCACCCAAAAUAGAAUCCAUUCUGUGAUGGAAAUAAUAAUAAAUUAUUCUUCAACUCUGUAAUGUAACACUGUAGAUAGAGAGAGAAACAUAGCACAAUCAAAUUCAUAUGUAAAACAACCUAUCGCCCAGGACACCCGUUUACUAGGAAGAUAAGAAUCAAAAAGGAUUGAACUACUAACUCAUUACUCAGAGGUGAAUCAUAUAACAUCAAAAGCUGUGGUAUCUUGUGGACCUAACCCUCACAACAUAAACUGAAAGAUGCAUACCCUUCUCUCCAAAGUGGAUCAAGAAAAUUUCUUUCUUAAUAACUCCCCCAUGUUGCCUUCGCUGAUCAAAAUGAGGUGCUCUGAAAAGCAAAUAACAGGGUUGCUAAGAUAAUAACACAAAACAAAAACCUCGAUACUGAGAAUAAAGUUUCACAGAUUCUAAAUUAAGAUUGCAAAUGGAAAUUAGGAACACAAAGGUAUAUAAAUAAGAACUAUGAUAUUAGAAACAGACUAUUCCAGAAGGGUAAAUUUGUAAUUUACAGCACAAACUCUGCAACAGAACAAAUAAUAAAUUAACCUCCACACUUUGAACAGCUAGUGCAAGAAAGAAUAGAAAUAUUAACUCCACUAUCAAACAUGACACACCCCCUUUAUCAUUUCAUUCCUCCAAACUAUUUUCCAUUAUCAGAUCAAGAGUACCUUUGAGCAAGAAUGCCCCAAAUGCACAAGCUCUUCUGCAACGCUCAUGAGGUUGAAGAACCCCCUACAUAAAAAAAAACAUACCUUCUCUCAUCCACCCAAAAUGUCUCGAGCGCUCAAGGAAGGCAAACAAAAGGGAGAAGCUCACCAGGUCACUAAUGCAACAGGGAUGAAUGAGAUCGUGAAAAAUAGAUGAAACUAAGAAACUUGAUACAGCAUAUCAGCUGCAAAACCACUUACCAACAUAGUAUGUGUUAUUUCCAACAUGCUUGACUCCUAAAGAAUUUGUGGAAGCAAGAAAGCAACAUCAUGGAAAACCCUUUCUUAAUCCCAGUUAAUCAUACUUUCAGUGCUUAGAACAAAGAUUGACAAAUUAUAAAUUAAUCUUGAAAAUGGCCAACUAUAAAUAUGGACAAACCCUUCUACAUGGGCAAAAUCAUAACCUGCAGCAGAAGUUACCGCCACAGCACAAACCAUAUAGUAACUUUCACCAUUCCCCAUGAACAGCUAGUAUAGGAAAAAGUAGUAUAAUACCUCCACUAUCAAAGAUGAGAAACCCCCUUAAUAAAAAAUUAUAUCACUAUGAUCCAUUUCCUUCGAACUGUCUUCCAUUAUCAGGUAAAGAUGCCCUUGAGCAAGAUCACCUGAUGUUGUACAAGCUCUUCUGCGACAUCAGAAAUAACAAACCUAUGACGUGAACUUUAAGUUUGAGAAAAAAAUAGAAAUAUUAUCAAUUCUAUCAUAAAGGUUGAGGAACACCCUCCAUCAAAAGAGCAUAUCAUGAUCCAAUCCCCCAAGCUAUCUUGAGAGCCGAUGGUUCUGGCCAAACAAAUGAGAGAACAUCACCAGGUCAUUAAUAACACAAAGGACAUUUCUGGAACACAGAUAUGAAACUCGAUACAGCAUAUAAAAAGCAGAUCCACUUAUCGAGAUCAUUACUGUCAGGCCCCACAUGCUGUGACCCCUAGAUUAUCAGUGGAAGUGAGGAACCUCGUCAUGAAAAAUCCUUUCUUAACCCUAAUCCUCUAGUAUUGCCUUCACUGAUCAAAUCAAGGUUCUGGUGAAGCAAAUAAAAAGAUUUCUAAAAUACUAACCCAAAUUGCUAAGAUACUAAUCAAAAGAAACACCUAUUAAAAAAAAGGUAAUUAGGAACAUAAAGGCAUCAAAUACUAACUAUGAUAUAAAUAAGGGUGAACCCUUCCAUAUUGGCAAAUAUGGGGAAAAAUUGUAUCCUGCAGCACAAGCUAAUCUGCAACAGCACAAAUAAUAAAUUAACCUUCAUGGUUCCACAUGAACAGCUACUGCACAAAAAAGCUAGCAUAAUGAGCUCCCCGAACAUGGAUUAGAAAUUCUAUUCAUUAAAAAAAAAUCACAGCAUUACACUCCAUUUCCUCUAAACUUUCUUCAAUUAUCAGACCAAGAUACCCUUCAGCAAGAUUGUCCCAUGUUGCAAAAGCUCUUCUGCAACAUCACAAAUAACAAACUAAGAAAGACAUGAACUAAAAGCAUAAGGGGAAAAAAAAUACUACGAUCAAUUCAAUAAUCAAAGGGAGGAAACCCCUCAUGAAAAAACAAAUAUACUCCAAUGCAGCCAUAGCAUAUUGAGAACUCACAGUGCUGGUCAAACAAAUGAGAGAAUCCCCAGGUUACUAAUGCAACAGGAAAUCAUGAAACAACUGCCAACAUCAAUCACAAAAUGAUAAACUGCAUGAGAUUAACCAAGAAAUCAAGAUUAUGCCAAACUGACCCGAACUUCCCACUUCGGGGCAUCUCGAACUGGUGAGAAACCAAGUCAAUUUGGCCUCUUGAUUGGGAAACCACUGUGAACCGGCUCGAACUAAACCAAGCGGAACCAUUAGGUUUUGCUCGGUUCAGAGAACAUGUGACCAAAAAAGAGAGGAAAGGCCAUGAGAUACCAUUCUCCUCUCUAUUCUUCAAAAAUUGUGAAGGAAAGGUAGGUUCUGUGAGAACAAACCCUUAAGGCAAAUUCGUGACCUACAGCUGAACAGCACAAAGAAUAAAUUAAAAAUACACACUUUCCCUCGAACAGCUAUUAUAAGAGAAAAUGUAUAACUCCAGUAUCACAGAUGAGAAACCCCCUUCAUAAAAAUCAUAUCAUUAUAUUCCAAGUCCUCCAAACUGUCUUCCAUCAUCAGAUCAAGAUGCCUUUGAGCGAGAUUGUCAAAUGUCGCACAAGCUCUUCUGCAACAUCCGAAAUAACAUACUAAACAAGUAUCAAAGCAUAAGAGUAAAAAAAAUGUAGUAGAACAAGUUCUACAAUCAAGGUUCAGGAAACCCUCCAUGAAAAAUACAUAUCAUGCUCCAAUCCACCCAGACUGUCUUGAGCACUCAGGUCCCCACUAUCCCACCGGUAUUUAAAACCUUGGUACUGGUCAAACAAAUGAGAGGAAGUCACAAGGUUACUGGAACAACAGGAAUGAAUGAGAUUUAACAAGACUUUGGAACAUAGAUAUGAAACUUAGUGCAGCAUAUCAGCUGCAAAACAACUUAUCAACAUAGAAUCCAUCUUGUUCCCAGCAGAAGUGAGUCUCCAUAUUGCCUCCCUGAUCAAAACAAUAUUCUGGUGAAGCAAAUAGAAAGAAUUAUUAAGAUGUCAACCCAAAGGAAUAAAACCAACUAGUGAAAUAAAAGGGGUAAUCAGGAACAUAAAGGUAUCAAACAAUAAGUACAACAUAAACAAGGACAAACUCUUCCAUAUGGGCAAAACUCUGUCUUACAGCACAGGCUCAUCUGCAACAGAACAAAUAGUAAAUUUACUUUCAUGAUUCCACACGAACAUCUACUGUAGGGAAAAGCUAGUACAACAAACUUUUCAUAUCAAGAUACCCAUAAGCAAGAUUAUCCCAUGAUGCCCAAGAUCUUCUGCAACAGCUGAAGUACAAACUGACCUACCACAUGAACUCCAGGUGUAAGGAAAAAAAUUAAUUAAACCAAAUUCUAAGUCUAGGUUGAGGAACUCCAUGAAUGAAAAAGCAUAUCAUACUCCAAUUCACCCAGACUACAUUAAGCAUUCAAGUUACUGGUCAAACAAAUGAGAGGAAAACAUCAAUGCAAUAGGAAUGAAUGAGAUUUUGGAACACAGAUGAAACUAAGAAACUUGAUACAGCAAAUCAGCUGCAAGUAUUUUCAUUAGCAACCUUGUCCAUCAACCUAGAUGUUCUCUUACAGCACAAGCUCUUCUGCAAUAACAGAAAUAAUUAACCUUAUAAACAACAUGGUUAGAGAAAAAUUAAUAAAACCAAAUAGUGAGGAAACCCUACAAAUUGCCUUCACUGGUUCUAGUGAAACAAAUGUAAGAAUCAAUAAGCUAAUAACCCAACACAUAUGAUUAACAGUAUGGAACGAAGAUGAAAUUAGAAUAAUGUGCAUCAAAUAUUAACUCAUUUAUCCACUGUUGGAGUCAUUUUGUUUCCAACAUGCACCAAGUAGGACUCCCAUGGAGCCGGAGACUAGGACCUAAACAAUGAAAAUGAGACUGUUUACAAGUAACUGAACCCAGAAUUUUACAGAAUUUGAACAAAUGUGCAUCGAGAAUUAAGUCCUGCUCGAUUCAUUUUGUUUCCAAGACGCACCAGCACUACAAGGAGUCAAACAUUAGGACCUACAUGAAAAUGAAACUGGUUGCAAGAUAAUUUUUACAGAAUUUGCCUUGAUCAAUAAGGAACAUAUUCUCUUAUUUCAUGCUGAACCAGCAUUGAUAAAAAGUCAAUUAAGAAGACAGAAGUCAACAAACAAUAGCCACAAUAUAAACAGUCAUGCAAAUUGCUUACCAUAACAUAAGAUCAGCAAAAGCAACAAAUAUAACAGCUUAACCUUAUCACAUCAACAGCAGUCCAAUUCCCCAUAUCUCAAAUGACCGAAUCAGGGUACUGGUGAAACGAACUGGAGAAAACAAUUAAACCACUAACCAAAAGGAAUUAUUGCCACCUUAAAACAAAUUUAACCCACAGAUACCUCAAUUACAUGUAAAAGCUACAAAAUCACUAAUAGACAGUGUCAUUCAAAACGCUCCCAGGAUGUACUGAAUCCUACAAUCUGUCAGAUAUGAAAAGAUGACCAGAGAUAGCGUAUUAGAAGAUAAUAAAGCUCCUUAAAAACAAACCAAAUCAGAAUUCUCCGGAUUUGACCGAAUCCAAAACAUGAACUAACUAAUUAUAAAGCAGAUUCAACAAAAGGCAAUAAGGAAGACAAUGUUUCAUAAACAAUAGCCACAAAUAUAAAGAAUGGCUUAACUUAGUGGGUCCCUAGAUCCCUUAAGCAAGACUAUUUCAAACACUACAAGCCCUUCAACAGAGAUAAUAAAUUAAUGUUUCACAUUACUCCUCGCACACGUCAAAGAAUUAAAAUUUGCCAAACAGCUACAACUGAAAGUUCGGGUAAUCGCAUAAGCUGUUAAAAUGAGGGCAUGACUAGAUGGAGGAAUAAUUCCACAAAACAACUGAAAUACAAACAUCCCUCAAAUACUAGAUAACAGUGAAAACAAGACAUAUAUGUACUACAAGAAAAGUGAUUAUAAAGAACCUUGAAGGAGUUACCAUAGAUUAAGAUUGGCAGUUGAUGAUGCUAUUAAACAUAUACCAAGUAUGGCAUCUCCACAAGAGGAAAUCUGAUAGCAAAAACAACAGAUGUGAUGGGCCUUAUGGUGGACAAAAUUGAUGAAAUGUUGUGUAACAGGUGAACUACAACCAAAAAUUGAGAUCUUACUACUCCCAAAGCUAUCAACUGGAAGAAGCAAGGUCAACAGACUAUAAGAUCAACCUGCAAACCACUACCAUUAGCUCGUUAUGAACAUGGUCAUGACUAGAUGAAACGAAUUUGCAGUUAAAAAAAAAGAAAUAAAAAUUCGCAAACUUUCUAUUUACCACACGAGCAAGUAUAGGGACAAGUACACAACCAAGACUUUCGGAGAACCAACCAAAAAGCCAAGAGCAGGUUAUCUCAGACAGGAGUCACAGGACCCUAAUCAUUGAAUAACAGCAAACAAUUAGGAUAAAGGAGGAAGCAAAUGAUAUCUAAAGGAAGAAAUAACCCUGAUUUUCUGGCCCUCAGCAAUUGCCAAGCUCAAGCUCUUGCAAAUACGACAAAAAAAACACAACAAUAAUACACAUCUAACCCACGGAAUAUGAAUAAUUUCAAGUACCAAAGUAGUCGCUCUGUCAGCAAAUCAUCUCUGCUUUUUGCUCUAAGCACUCGACCGGUAGACUGAGUAGCAACAAGAAUGGUGAAAGAGAUGGUGGAUGAGUCCCAUAUAAUAGAUAAUCAGAACCUGAAAUACCUUGCAUCUCUGGAGCCAUCCAACAACUCCAACCCAUCGAACAUGAUGUUCAUUAUAUCCUUACAAAUACUACAGCAAAAGCACCAAACACUCAAUAACACAAACGAACAAAUGAAUAAGACAUUUACAGCUUCAUAAUUGCUCCUCUAAAUGCUCUGAAUCAUGAAAAGCGAACACAAUCAAUUCGUCAGUUGAUCCUAAAUGAUCACAUGAUUAGAGUACUAGAGAAACCCAACCUUGAAUUCCAGCCUCUGCAUCAUAUUUCAUGAAUCCAUCAUUAAGAAAUCGCUUGAUACUGGUAAAACGAGGUGAAUUGAGCGGUAUAACCUGAAGUAACAACGGAAUAAAGAGCAGAGGAAAUAUAUCCUAAGCAGCCACAGAAGAUGAGUAAAGAUCAGAAGAAACUAUUAUGCCGCCACGGUGCUUGCCAACAGUAUACGAUAGCUCUGAUCAGGUAGUGCAAUUUGUUGCCACAACAAAUCCUACCGCAGCCAAAUAGAAGGAUUUCAACAAACACAAGAAGUGGAAAAAAUCAUCUCACUGAUCACAUAUUGCUUCUCUGAAUCAAACCAAUUGAUCAAAUCACAUUAUCUGAACAAAAUGAAAAUAAUCAAAGGAAAAGAAACCCCCUUCAAAACAAAACCAAUGUGGACACCUGCUUUAACAUCAUCUCUUUGAGUUGAAUUACUUGGAAAACAAGGGCAGCCUUCUCAAAAAUUGGAACCUAGAGAAACCAUCAAGAAUCAAAAACCAUGAUUAGAUUAAGCAUCAAAAUUAGAAAUCACUGUCACACUGCACAAUAAUAUUUUCAUCAUGUUUCAAACCAACUAAUCAAACCACCAAGUAAUAAAGAAACCCCCUUCACAAGAACUUCCGGCCUCUAAAUCAAGCCUCUUAUGUCCAACAUCAGAAUAUGGAAACCAAAAUAACACCGUCUUAGAAUCAGAAACAUUCUCCGAAACAUAGAAACUGCUUCCUUGAUGAUUUCACACCGAAAAUAUUAUUAAAACAAAUACUGAAAACUCGUAACCCCAGCACCAGUGCUUCAACCGAAUAAAAGAAAAUCAUGAAGUAAAUCUGAACUCGGACUGUCAGAUUGGCAAUACGCAAAAAUCCAAUCAGAAUACACCACAGCUGAUUCCUGCAGAUUAACGAUGGAGCACCCCCAAUACCAGAAGAAAGAAACCUGAACCACUUGGAUUCUUUUCUAGUAAAAAAAAGAAACUAAAUCACAAGAGACCAGAUUCAAUCGUCAAAUCCUCAAACAAGAACAAACAGCUAACAAUUCUGCGAACCCUAAAAACCAAGUCGCAAAAAAUUCCUUAAUUACUGCAAAUCUUCAACUUGAAUUUCAGCCUCUGAAUCAUGCUUAUCUUGUCCAUNNNNNNNNNNNNNNNNNNNNCCUCUGAAUCAUGCUUAUCUUGUCCAUCACCGUAAGAUGGAAUUUAAAGUAACAUUGAAUUGGCAUCAGGAACAUCUCUUUUGAGACAUCCAGAAACCACUAAUCAGGCUGCAAAAUAAUGCUUGUGUGAUGCUUUCAAACUGAAAAUAGAAUUAUCAAAAUGAAUACCAAAAACUGUAAUACAGGCAGCAGGAAAAUCAUAAGCAUGUCUGAACUCAUACGGUCGGAUUGGAAAUAUUCAAAACUGAUUAUUACACAUUACAACAAAUACCUGUAGAUUAACAAAAGAGCACACCCAGAUCCAACAAAAAAAAAAAACUCAAUCCACUGGAAUUCUUUUCAAAAAGAAAAAA
rnacentral:lncRNA from 1 species